AUAUCAGACUGGUGUCAAGGUGGUUGUUGCCUAUGGUGGAGCACCCAUAAAUCAACAGCUUCGAGAGCUUGAGAGGGGCGUGCAUAUACUUGUUGCCACUCCUGGGCGGUUAGUUGAUUUAUUAGAGAGGGCAAGAGUCUUAUUGGAGAUG